rnacentral:rRNA from 1 species
AUUGAACGCUGGCGGCAGGCUUAACACAUGCAAGUCGAGCGGAGAUGAGGUGCUUGCACCUUAUCUUAGCGGCGGACGGGCGAGUAAUGCUUAGGCAUCUGCCUAUUAGUGGGGGACAACAUUCCGAACGGAAUGCUAAUACCGCAUACGCCGUACGGGGGAAGGCAGGAGAACUUCGGACCUUGCGAUAAUAGAUGAGCCUAAGUCGGAUUAGCUAGUGGGUGGGGUAAAGGCCUACCAAGGCGACGAUCUGUAGCGGGUCUGAGAGGAUGAUCCGCACACUGGGACUGAGACACGGCCCAGACUCCUACGGGAGGCAGCAGUGGGGAAUAUUGGACAAUGGGCGGAAGCCUGAUCCAGCCAUGCCGCGUGUGUGAAGAAGGCCUUUUGGUUGUAAAGCACUUUAAGCGAGGAGGAGGCUACCUGGAUUAAUACUCUAGGAUAGUGGACGUUACUCGCAGAAUAAGCACCGGCUAACUCUGUGCCAGCCGCCGCCGUAACAC